CACAUCCGUGCUUGACUGUAGGGAUGGUGUUCUUGGGGUCAUAGUCAGCAUCUCUCUCCCUCCAAACACGGCAAGUCAAGUUAAUGCCAAAGAACGAAAAUACCAGUUAAUGUCAAAAAUGACCCGGCCUCAGAAAAUAGCUUAGAAAUCACUCAGUAUGCUAUAUUAAU